rnacentral:lncRNA from 1 species
AAUGUUUGGGAUCCACAGUCUACGAAACCCCACAGCUCCUAAGAAUUCUCUCACCUGCCUUCUGCCCUUAAGCUCCGGUAGAUUGCAAAUAACCUGCUUUCUUUCUGUUCCCGAGCUGCGUUCGGACCCAUGUCUUAUUGUAAAUCCCACGCAAGGUACCUGCCGUCGGAAGAUUUGAGCUUUCUUCUUGAACACCUCAUACCCACAGUCCUCCAGCUGCGUUCGGACCCGUCUGAUCGUAAAUCCCAUGUAAGGUACCUGCCGUCGGAAGAUUUGAACGUUCUACUUGGACACCUAAAACCCACAGUCCUCCAGACAGAAAGACAACAGGUACAAAGCCCUAAGGAUUAUAAAGGUAUGCUGCUUACCAUCAUCUUAGUGACCAAGGCAGCGAAGCUGUUUCUGUACCUUGGAACAGUCUUCCCUGACAAGCCAGAGAACAGUGAUAAAGCCACCAGCCUUGGGAUCAGGACUGAAAAGGCAAGAGUGAUGGAGAUUUCUCCUGCGCUAAGCCAAGAGAAGGUUUCAGCACUUCAGACAGCUCCCACCGAAGUAGCCGCGCUCCCAGCUGCUUGCAGAUGUUGAAAAGGAAAGCCUCGGUUUGUCUUGAGGUUGUCAGCAGGUGCAAGACACGUAAUAAAAUGCAAUGUGUUCCUAAUUCAUUGCAUAUCCUCAGC